rnacentral:rRNA from 1 species
GAUGAACGCUAGCUUCAGGCUUAACACAUGCAAGUCGCGGGGCAGCAUGGGGGUUGCUUGCAAUCCCCGAUGGCGACCGGCGCACGGGUGAGUAACGCGUAUCCAACCUGCCCUUCACCACGGGAUAACCCGGCGAAAGUCGGACUAAUACCGUAUGUUGUCCAUUGACGGCAUCCGAUUUGGACGAAAGGUUUGGCGGUGAAGGAUGGGGAUGCGUCCGAUUAGCUGGACGGCGGGGUGACGGCCCACCGUGGCGACGAUCGGUAGGGGUUCUGAGAGGAAGGUCCCCCACACGGGAACUGAGACACGGUCCAGACUCCUACGGGAGGCAGCAGUGAGGAAUAUUGGUCAAUGGGCGUAAGCCUGAACCAGCCAAGUAGCGUGCAGGAUGACGGCCCUAUGGGUUGUAAACUGCUUUUAUGCGGGGAUAAAGUGGCCCACGUGUGGGUUUUUGCAGGUACCGCAUGAAUAAGGACCGGCUAAUUCCGUG